CCUACGGGAGGCAGCAGUGAGGAAUAUUGGUCAAUGGUCGGGAGACUGAACCAGCCAAGCCGCGUGAGGGAGGAAGGUACAGAGUAUCGUAAACCUCUUUUGUCAGGGAACAAAGACUGGGACGCGUCCCCGGAUGAGUGUACCUGAAGAAAAAGCAUCGGCUAACUCCGUGCCAGCAGCCGCGGUAAUACGGAGGAUGCGAGCGUUAUCCGGAUUUAGUGGGUUUAAAGGGUGCGCAGGCGGUCUGUUAAGUCCGCGGUCAAAGACCGGGGCUCAACCCCGGCCCGCCGUUGAAACUGGCAGUAUCGAGUUGGAGAGAAGUAUGCGGAAUGCGCGGUGUAGCGGUGAAAUGCAUAGAUAUCGCGCAGAACUCCGAUUGCGAAGGCAGCAUGCCGGCUCCACACUGACGCUGAGGCACGAAAGCGUGGGUAUCGAACAGGAUUAGAUACCCUGGUAGUC
rnacentral:rRNA from 1 species